GCCCGAUCUCGUCUGAUCUCGGAAGCUAAGCAGGGUCGGGCCUGUUCCUGGUGACUCAGAGCCAUCUGUACCUUCCCAGCCUGCAUUGAGUAGAAGACUUGGCCUCGCUUCUGCUGCAACUGAAAGUCAACACUGACCCUCACCUGGGGCCAGCCGACUAUAGUUUUGCUGUAAACAACCUUCUUCAUCUGUGAAGAGAAAAGUCCUGAGUCAAAUGAGGCGGCUGUUAAUGUCAAUUAAACAUUUGGAAGUGAGGCCAACACAGACUGCACGGUUUCGUUCACUUCCACUGCUGCAGCAGCUAAAACCACAGACAAGUCAUAGUUAAAUAACAAUGCACAAAAUCGAUGUUAUUUUUACUGGUAUCAGUGUUACAGAUGCUGAUUUUUCUGUAAACAGGAUAGAACAAGUAGGAGUGAUGAGGCAGAACCAAAUMUGUGCUUCACAAAUCCUCCUGGAAUCUCUUCUGAUUUAUUAAACAUUUCCACCAUA